rnacentral:lncRNA from 1 species
UUUUUUUUUUUUUGGUUUUGAUCGGUAAGGCCACAGGAAGGAAUAAAUGUAGUAAUCACAAGGAGUUCUAACAACAGCAAGAAAUAAAUGGUCUGACCUUCUCCAUGAAUUCCAAGCAAAUAGCCCGUUUCCAGCAGACAACAUUAACAGGCCUAGCAAGCAAAAAGUAAUUAGACUUGACAACAAAUUCAAAAAGAGGUAUACCACUCCAGUAACUACUUAAAUUUUAAAACAAUAGAUAUAAUGCAAAACAAAUAGAAAUGACGAAAGAUAGCAGCAUGAAAAACAAAAGCAGACUUUUUCUAUGUUCAGAUGUACGGCACCAGCCUAAUCCAAAAAAGUAGAAUACUUUCAGCCAAAUGCAUUGCAUAAGAAUAUUGGGGGUCCUCUUUCUUUACCCAAGACCUCCAUCCUCCAUUCUUCUUCAUCCUGAUUUCAAGGAAACCACCUUCUUUACCACAAAAGAUGAAGAAAUUUGUACCUCAACAUGGAGCACUUUUCUAUCAAGAAGAUGUAUCCUAAGGUUCCCUGGAGAAGAAUAACUUGCAAUAAUAUUGGUACACCUAAAUCAUUAUUAAUCGUAUUGUUGGCUGCUCAUGGAAGACUGUACACAAGAGAUAGGAUGUAUAAGUGGGGAGUGAUUUCAUCUGAUAUAUGUCCCUUAUGCAACCGGGCAACUGAGAGUAUAGCACAUUUGUUCUUUCAAUGCACAAUUGCUACUGAAAUAUGGAGUAAACUGCUGCAAUGGCAAAGUAUUCAGAGGCAAGUAAUGAGCUGGAAUGAUGAACUUGACUGGGCUGUAGUUAACUAUAAUGGCAAGAAUCCAGAGGCUGAGCUGUACAGGAUGGUUUUAGCCGGGAGUGUCUACUCUGUCUGGCAAGAGAGGAAUCAAGGAGUAUUCAUGAACAACAAAAGGGAUGUUGGUACUAUCAUUAAGAUGACUGUUCAAGAUGUAUUUCAUAAGGGGUCGAUGAAGCCAUCAGUAGCGGGAAAACUAAAAAACUUGAAUUUUUAUCCUUGAACUGUAAUAGUAGAGAUGAAGGUACUUGAAAUUGGUAGGAUAUAAAAUAAGAGCUGAGCUGGGGCCUUCUGUCCAGCUCAGCAGACUGUUUUUCUUUAUUUCUUGAGCUGUACAUAGUUUAUACUUUGGUAAUAAAAUUGUUUAAUUGCCAAAAAAAAUUGUACCUCAACAGUUAUAACCUUUACAAAUUCUUCAAUCUCUUUUACCCCUAUAACAUGUGACAUCUCACAUGAACAAAACUAGUCAUGGGCUUUCAAGAACAAUCAAAUAAUAACAUUAGCCAAACAUACUUAUUAAAAAAUAAUGACAAAUAGUAUUAGUCAAACACUAAAGACUAAAUAAUUCACUUGGUCAGAUUUUAUAUGCUAGUACAGUAUACUCCAAUGACGAAUACUUAUUUUAUCAACUCUACAAAAGAAUUCAAACAAGAUCAUUCCCAAAAAGAACUCGAACCCUAAUUUUCAAACAGGGAAUGUACUAGUUACACCAGAAAACACCCACACCUGUAAGAUAUGUCCAAGACCAAGCCUCUGAAAGUGGAAAGCUCAUCCUUCUCAAACUCCGUUUCCUCUAUGAUUUCCUCCCAAACCUCUUCCUUCAUCCCAUUCGAUUGAUCAUUCAAGCGGAACUUCUUUGAUUUUCCGAUUGAUGAGGAAGAAGCAUUUGCGUAGACUCUGGUAGUACUACUACGAGCACCAGAAAACCGGAGUUUGAGUUCCUGAAGUUGUAGCGGUGAUGAACAAGGAGCCUCACUGCAGUGCACACCACCACGUACAACUUUAAAGCGGCGACCUAAAGGACUACCGGUAACUUCGAAGCCGACGGAGAGUCCAUCGCCGUUGAACAGUGGCUUAACGCGCCCUCUCACCGUGAAUUGCGCCAUUGUUGAAGCAGAUAUUUUUAUUUCCCGCGGCCGGGGGUGGGUAGGGGCAACGAAAUUAGAAUGAUCGUUAUGAUUUUUAAGAAUGUGACAAUUGUUUUUCACAUUUUGGUUUGGUAUAAGCAUUGAAGCUAAAAGUACUAUCGAGGAAAGUGGCAGUUUCGUUGCUUUUGCAUUUUGGCUUCAAUUUCUUCGCGGAAAAGUACUCUUAACCACAAGUAUUGCACGGCUCCUUGUUAGAAAUAUCUCCUUUUGGCAGUCAUCUUUCAACCACGUGACUGUAGUCUGUAAAUUGAACUUCUCAUUUUCUUCAAUUCACAUCCUCCACUUCAAAUUGACAUUUCUAAGUAGUAAUAUAAUAUAUAGUAAUUUCCUCCGUGUUAUUUUGAUGUGAUUAAGAAUAUAAAGAUAGAUAUUUGAAUUAUAAUUUUAAACUAAAGGUAGGUAGCAUACUAAAAGUAUUAUUUGGAUUAUGGUUUUAAAUAUAUCAUGUCAAUUCUUAAGGGUAUGAAAAUUGUUGAAAUUAAAAACAUAUCAAGUGUAGAAAAGUAACAUUAAUUUUAGAACAUAAAAACGAAACUAAAGCACGUAAAUCAAAGAGAGAAUUACAUAUAAAUACAAUCCACACGCAUACAUUGUAAUUAUGAGGCUUAUAUACAAUUUUGCAAAGUUGUAGCUUGAAAUAAUAGGUCAAAAUUCAGCAUCCAACUUUAAAUAAAUUCUCAAAAUUGCUAUUUAGAUUUUUUAAAGCUCAAGCUUUUAACCAAAUCUCUAAAUCAAUAAUUGUGACUCAAACAUUAGUUCUACAAACUAAAUCCAUUUGGUACUGAAAAUUAGGGUUUUAAGGUAACUUACCAUUGUUGAAUAAGCUUAAAUAAGUUUUGUGAUAAAUUUAAAGUAGGUGUUGUUUAGACUUGUUAGAAAUAGUCUAAAGAGACUGUCUACAAAAUUUGAAGUUAUUUAAAGACAUUUGGACUGAUUUUGAACGAGAAUUGCAACUGAAAAUCGUACAAGAAGUGUGCCAGAAAUGCUUAUACACUUUUAUACAAUGUUAUAUACUCUUAUAUAAGGAGGUACAUUAUGAAUACAAAUGCAUAAAAGUGUAUAAAGAUAUAUAAGCAUAAUAAUAAAAAGUAUGUUUUGUGAUACACUAUGUAUAGGUGUGUAGGAAGAAGAAGAAAAGGAAGAAAAUAUGAGAAAUCCACCAAACACAUGUAAAUAGUGUAUCAACCUUGUAUAUAAUAGUAUAUAAAAGGUAUUUAUACAUUAUUAUACAAUAUUAUAUAUUGUUAUGCAGAUGAAUCCUACCAAUGGAGUUUCACGUGUUCUUCUUCUUCUUUGUUGAGCAUCUUCUGAAAUUUAACUUCAAUUUAGCUCAAAUCUAUUUCAAUCACUUCAAAUUUUAAGUUAUGUACUCUUCUUGUUGUUUUCAAUCGAUUAGAACAAUAUGCAAUCCAAACAACUAACAACUCGAAAAACUCAAUACCUAAAUCGAAGCUUCGAACGACCUUUAAUGAUGGACUUUUAUUUUUAAAGUUUUCAAUCAACCACUAGAUUGAAAUUACAUGUGAAAUGAGGAUAUGACUGAGACAAUACUAGUACCUUCUUUCUAAUUUAAUGAUCCAACAACGUACUAAGUGAACAUCUUUAGUGCACGACAGUAAACUCAAUUCUCUCCAUUCUAAUGGAGCAAAUGUGUUGGGAUAUAUACUAUUAACCACGGGUUUGGAUAUAGUAUUUAUUAUGAAAUAAUUGCUUAUCCAAUUUUGAUAAAGAUUUAGAUAGAUCAUAUAUUAGUGUGUGUCCUUUGCUAAGUAGAUGAUUUAGUGUAUAGAGUUUAGUUUAUACACGGAAGAUUAAAUCAUCGGUUCUUAUAAGUAUCAAGUUUGAGUUCACAAUCUAAUGAUGGAACUGGACGAAUCAUCAGGAAUGAUUGUAGCACAAGAUUAAAUAUAAUUUAUUUUGAUUAUGGGAAUGAUUUAAUUCUAACUUCUUGUGCUAGUAUAUUUUAAUUUAUAUGUAUUGAACGGACCAAGUAGAGAUAAGUAUUUUAUACUGACUUAAUAAAAUAAGUUCUCUAACCAUUAAAUGUACUUAUACUCUUAAUCUUGAUAUAAUUAUUAUUAGAUGUAUAUUAUUAUUGUUUUGAUUUAUUAAAAUGCGAGAUUCGUUCGUGGGUUAAUAUGCCUGGUAAAUUGAAUAGUAAUGAUGUACAUUGGCAAAAUAAUAGUUAGAUGAUGGAAUUCAUGUCUCGGUUUAGAGAUUGAUGAUACACGUUUAUGAAAACUUAUAAAUUUUCAUGUGAAACUCGGGUGAUGAAUUUUAUAUCCGACACAUGAAAUAAGUUAAGCGAAAGUCCAAAGGAAAUAAUCAAGAAAUUAAAUUGUUAGUAAUUUAAUUGAAUUGAUUAGUAACUGAAUCUUAACACGAGAGUUAAAUAAUAUUUAAUGGAUGAAUUUUGAAAUUGAAUAAGAAGUGCAAUUACAAAUUUUUAGUGGAAUAUUCGUAUGUAUUAUGGUGGAUAUUAAUUUCGAAAAGUAGAAAUUAAUUCCAUAAUUGAAAGCCUUGUUAAUUAAAUUUUGUGGUCACUGUUGUGCCUAAAUAAUAGGAAACGAAGAAAUUAUUUUCUUGGUGAAAAAGAAAAGCCAACAUGUUUUGGAAAAGGGUUUUAACUCUUAAAACUUGUGCUAUAAAUACAUAAGAUUUUUCACCUAGAGGAAAGCAGUAGACAGCGGCCGAAAUUUCAGCCAUUUUCCUAGAGAUUUUCGCCCACAAAAAUUACUAUUUUCGGAUAUUAUUUGGGUAACACAGUAGAAAGCCGUGGAAAGUUCGGAGAUUGUGAUCGGGUGGUGGAGAUUUAUUGAGACGAUGUGAAGUUGAAGGCUCACGUGACUGAAGGGUUGUGUUCACGCUUCAAGAGGUAACCCGGAAAACUCCGUAUAUACUAGUUGUCUAGAUUACAUGUUAAUUUGAUACUGGGAUUGCUUCCGCUGCUUAUCAUAAUCCAUCAAAAUGGUUUUCAUAUGCCUCCAAAUAAAUAAUUCCUUUAUGUAUUAUUUUUUUCUUCUUGAUACAAAUAGUGGUUAUCGGCUUUGAAUCUGGGAGGAGAAUUGAAAUAGAAUAAACGGUAGAGGAAUUUGGGGGGUGCGAACUGGUCGACACUGAGGGAGAAGAAGAAUGAAGAAUGAAAGAAUAAGAAUAAUUAGAAGUGAAUCUUUAAUGUUAAGCUAAAGGAUGAAAAAUAUCAAGUUUGGCCUUUUAGAGCAACAAUGCUACGAAUAUUAGUCAAUUCAUUAAAUACUGCCAAUACUUAAAUGCUACCAAUAUUAAGUUAGCUUUUGGCAUUUCAAUGAAUGUAAGUCUUUCCUUUUUGUAUAUUGAUGAUGCUAAUCCUAUACUCCGUAACUUUUUUUCCCAUUAAUUUGUUUUAUUUUAUUAUGUUGCAUUUAAGCUCGUAUUCGUCUUGUUUCUUUCUAGUCGAUCUUGGUAUUAAUAAAAGCUAAUCAAGUUGAUGGUUAGCUCUUAAAGAUCAAUAUCAGUUAGACAAAUAAAAUCACCAGAUAAUAUCAUCUUUUUUUAAGGAUAAAUAUUAAAACUAAAAAUUGUAAUGUGAUUCUUUUAAAGUGAAUUAGAUAGAACGCUGUAGUGAGGACCCUAAGAGGAAGAGUUGGCCGCAACCCCGUGAAGAGAAAGCCUAACUCUGUUGUGUUGCUUAGCUUAUUUAAGUUAUGAAAAUUUUGGUACUCAACUGCUAACAUGUUCUUUUUUUCAUUUCCGUCGUGUUUACAGUUGCAUUAGGUGUUAGUAGCUAGCGUUUUUUUUAAUUCCAUUAUGUUUAUAAUUAAGUUAGGUUUUAGUGCUCAACUACUACCGUAAUUUUGUUAUUUCACGUGGGUGUUGUUAGAAUAAAUUGGGUACACCUCAAGAGGUUUCAAUCUCAAUUUUUGGACGGUUUGGUGGAUAUUUGAGGUUGUUUGAAUUGAAAUUUGAACCAAAAUUGAAGUAGAAGAUGAACAUUAAAGAAGAUGAGAUGUGUAUCUUCUUGUGUAUUAUUUAUCUAUCCUAUAUAUAUCAACUAUAUUUUUUAUGUGUAUCCAUGUAUACUCGUGGGCACAGAAAUUUUUAAAUUCGAUUUUAACUAUAAAUUUGACUUCAAACUAGUUCAAACCAUAUCUAAUCUUCCUCAAACAUUGUAUAUUGCCUUAUCUAUAUAUUUUAACGAAUGUGUUUUAAAUCUGUUGGUAUAUAAUAUAAAAAAUUUAGCUUUAUUUAUGUUAAAAGAAAUUUCGUAUUGGUUGGUCUGGUAACACUAUCGAAAACAACAUUCCUGCCUUUUUGAAGGUAAGGAUAAGGUCUGCGUACACACUGUCAUCCGCAAACCUCACUUAUGGAAUUACAUUAUGUUUGAUGUUGUUGUUGUUGGUCGGAUAACAAGUUUGAUCUCUACAUAAAAAUAAAAAAUCUAGCAUUGUUAAAAUAAUGCACAACGUAUUAUUGUAUAUGAGAUUUAUUAUGAAACAAUAAUACAAUACAAGUAUUCUUGCAUUCUCAUGACGCUUGCUUGCAUAAGUGAUCUAACUAAUGAAAACAAAUGAAAUAGACGAAAUUUAAUUGCAAACAAAUAGAGAGCCAUCGCCAAGACUUAAAAACUCUUUGUCAGUUGAUUGACUUAAAUUUAGAUUUUUUGCGCGCCUAAGCAGAUAACACAAUCCCAGUAUACAUCUAAAUAACAAAGGAAUGCAAAAUUUGUUUUUCCUAAUGAACGCAAUUGACAACAGCAAAUACACCCUCCUCUUUCUAUCUCUGAUAUUUUUAAACCCUCUCUAUCUUUUACAAACUUCCAACUUCUGAGGUACAACAUUCAUAAUUUUCACACUACCAAGUCAUGAUUCUACUUUUAUUUUUGUAAUUGGUAGGUUUUCAGGAUGACCUGAUUUUGGAAAAACCAGAAUAUUGGGCCUAACUUGGAGAAAUUUUAGCAGUAUCAC